rnacentral:rRNA from 1 species
GACGAACGCUGGCGGCGUGCCUAAUACAUGCAAGUCGAACGCAGUUGCGAACGGGUGAGUAACGCGUAGGUAACUGCCUCAUAGCGGGGGAUAACUAUUUGAAACGAUAGCUAAUACCGCAGACUGUGAGAUGGCCCUGCGUUGUAUUAGCUAGUUGGUGUGGUAAAGGCUCACCAAGGCGACGAUAGAUAGCCGACCUGAGAGGGUGAUCGGCCACACUGGACCUAUAACACGAUCCAGACCCCGACGGGAGUCAUCAGUAUGGUAUUCUCGGGAAUGGACGGAAGUCUGACCGUGCAACGCCGCGUGGUUGAAUAAGGUUUUCGGAUCGUAAAGCUCUGUUGUUAGAGAAGCGGUAUCUAACCAGAAAGAGACGGCUAACUACGUGCCAGCAGCCGCGGUAAUUC